rnacentral:rRNA from 1 species
AGUGGCAGACGGGUGAGUAACACGUGGGUAAUCUACCCCAAAGACUGGGACAACAGUUAGAAAUGACUGCUAAUACCGGAUAAUUCAUAUUUAGAUAACUAGAUAUGCUAAAAGGAGCCUUUAAAGCUUCACUUUGGGAUGAGCUUGCGGCGCAUUAGUUAGUUGGUGGGGUAAUGGCCUACCAAGACUACGAUGCGUAUCCGAGCUGAGAGGCUGAACGGACACAUUGGGACUGAGACACGGCCCAAACUCCUACGGGAGACAGCAGUUAGGAAUAUUCGUCAAUGGGGGAAACCCUGAACGAGCAAUGCCGCGUGAGUGAUGAAGGUCUUAUUGAUCGUAAAACUCUGUUGUAAGAGACGAAACCACAGUAUAGGAAAUGAUACUGUGCUGACGGUAUCUUACCAGAAAGCCCCGGCUAACUACGUGCCAGCAGCCGCGGUAAUACGUAGGGGGCGAGCGUUAUCCGGAUUUAUUGGGUGUAAAGGGUGCGUAGGCGGUUUAUUAAGUCUAAAAUUAAAGCCUGGGGCUUAACCUCAGCUCGUUUUAGAAACUGGUAGGCUUGAGUAUGGUAGAGGUAAGUGGAAUUUCUAGUGUAGCGGUUAAAUGCGUAGAUAUUAGAAGGAACACCAGUGGCGAAGGCGGCUUACUGGGCCAUUACUGACGCUGAUGCACGAAAGCGUGGGGAGCAAAUAGGAUUAGAUACCCUAGUAGUCCACGCU